CGCAGAUGAGAGGCGGAGCGCCACAAGUGCGAGAGCUGGCGACGCGGAAGGAUGACUGCCGGUCAGCUGGUAGCGAUCAUCAGCUGACUCCGGGCCGGCCUCGAGAUGUGCGCACUGGCACACCGCUCCGAAGGUAACCGCGUUCCAUCAAGGUUCUGAGGGUUGCGUACCAGAACCACGUGAAACCAAGAAAGUCUGAAGUGCGCAUGAGCUGUCGUCAAUCGCUAACAGCCUCACCAACAGGACACAACAAUUCCAUUAUGUCUGAGACUUUCCCCAUUAAUGGAAGUAUUCAUCUGGUUAUGAGAUAUGCUGCUGUUUGAGACUCAAGGAUUCACUGCUAUGGUGCUUAGGGAAGCCUGCCACAUCCACCUGACAGCAAGUGGCUGAAGAAUCAUGAUUCAGUUUCUGGUAGGGGCUUUCUUUCAACCACUGUCUAGACUGGCAGUACCAGUGGUGCAGCUGACCGCUCCCCUCCAUCUACUCACUCCACCAUAUAUCUUCAUAGUGCUGUGUUUGAUCAAAUACUGUGAUUAGUUUAACACUGCCAGAAGUUGGCAAUAACUUCGUGGACAAGCCAUGGUCACUCUGUAUAGUUCAUUCGUGGACUACAGGCUUUUUUUUUUGUAUACCUAACUACCCUAACAAGCAAGUUUGUUUCUGAACAAGUUAUGUAGCAUAUUUAUGUACUUAACUUGAACAAACGUUUGUCAUGAAAACUGUAAAUUCUGACGUCCAAGGCACCUUCCAAACUGUGAGAACACACUCCACUCAGCCUGACAUGUGCUUUUGUCAGACAAUGCUAAAGACACUGCCUUGCACGAGCAUCACACCAUGCAAAUGUAUUUUGGAUUAUUGAGGCAUGCAAUGAACUUCCAGCUGUGACUGUCUUGUUCCUUUACAACAGGACCUGGGUGAAUAUCUAAGACCUAUGUUACCCCAGUUGACAGUGGCAUGUGUCUUGAAAUCUAAGCAUCUCAGGACAUAUGUUUGUAGCAUUUUCUACUUUUCAUUUAAUGACAAAAAACAAACAUUAUGGCGAGCUUGUGCACAAAUUUAACUUCAUCCCAUGUGUAUCAGAAGAACGCAAUUUGGUGUUUCAGUCCAGGUGACCUAACAGUGGAGGGUUUUCAGAUUUAUAAGUAUUACUGUUAAUUCCUAGAUUAAAUGUUGGCAAUGUACUUUUAAAAACAUUACAAGUGCUUUAAUCAGCUGAACAUGAUCCACACAGUUGGGAAAGGUUUGGUCACUUACCUACCACCCUGUGAGAUGAAUUAAAUGUGACGUAUAACCUUUUUGGCUAGUUGGCAUAUUCAAUUUUUUUUCAUCAAAUUUCACUUGUGACAGGUAGAUGUUUUCAUAUCUAAGUUUUAAGUAUUUAUGAAAUUAGUUUCCUCUGUUACACAGAUUCAUCUAGUUAGAAGAAAUAAUUGCUCUCUAAAAUUACAGUGAGUACAGACCUAACAAAAAUGUGAUGCUGAGCUUUCGAUAUGAUUAAAGACACUUCUAUGGAAAGCAGAAGGCAGGGACCAAGGAAAAUUUAUGUUCCAAGAGCUGUAAGCAUGUAACCAGGUACCUGUCCCAAUGAAGUGGGACACACAGCAGGGAUGAUAGUUCCAUGAGGACACAAGCAACAGGUUCAAUACAAACCCACCGCAUGUGAUGCACCAUUAGAUGCUAUGUUUGAAUAACAUCUGUAUGGUCCAUCUCGCUGCUGUUCUCAAGGGGCAGGUGCUGAAGAAAGGCAUGACUCUAUGGGGAAAUCUGUCCGAGAGGUAAACUCAAUCUGGCGGUCCAGCACGUGGAGGAGUGUUACCAUUAUGGCAAGGAGCAGUGCUGUCAUGAACUGAU